GAUUCGCCACACCGUCUUCCACAAUGGUUGGACUAAUUUACACUCCCACCAACAGUGUAAAAGUGUUCCUUUUUCUCCACAUCCUCUCCAGCAUCUGUUGUCUCCAGAUUUUUUAAUGAUCGCCAUUCUAACUGGCGUGAGAUGGUAUCUCAAUGUGGUUUUGAUUUGCAUCUCUCUGAUGACCAAUGACGAUGAGCAUUUUUUCAUAUGAUUGUUGGCCUCAUAUAUGUCUUCUUUCGUAAAGUGUCUGUUCAUAUCCUUUGCCGAUUUUUGAAUGGGCUUGUUUGUUUUUUUCCUGUAAAUCUGUUUGAGUUCUUCGUAAAUUCUGGAUAUCAGCCCUUUGUCAGAUGGGUAAAUUGCAAAAAUUUUUUCCCAUUCUGUUGGUUGCCGAUUCACUCUAGUGACUGUUUCUUUUGCCGUGCAGAAGCUGUGGAGUUUCAUUAGGUCCCAUUUGUCUAUUUUGGCUUUUGUAGCCAAUGCUUUUGGUGUUUUGUUCAUGAAGUCCUUGCCUACUCCUAUGUCCUGGAUAGUUUUGCCUAGAUUUCCUUCUAGGGUUUUUAUCAUGCUAGGUCUUAUGUUUAAGUCUUUAAUCCAUCUGGAGUUAAUUUUAGUGUAAGGUGUCAGGAAGGGGUCAAGUUUCUGCUUUCUGCACAUGGCUAGCCAGUUUUCCCAACACCAUUUGUUAAACAGGGAAUCCUUUCCCCAAUGCUUGCUUUUGUCAGGUUUAUCAAAGAUUGUAUAGUUGUAGAUAUGUUGUGUUGCCUCCGGUGCCUCUGUUUUGUUCCAUUGGUCUAUAUCUCUGUUUUUCACAUAGUCCCACAUUUCUUGGAGACUUUGUUCAUUCCUUUUUGUGCUUUUUUCUCUGAUCUUGGUUUCUUGUUUUAUUUCAUUGAGUUGAUCUUCGACUUCAGAUAUUCUUUCUUCUGCUUGGUCAAUUCGGCUAUUGAAACUUGUGCAUGCUUCGCGAAGUUCUCGUAUUGUGUUUUUCAGCUCCUUUAAUUCAUUCAUAUUCCUCUCUAAGUUAUUCAUUCUUGUUAUCAUUUCCUCAAAUCUUUUUUCAUAUCUUUUUUCAAGGUUCUUAGUUUCUUUGCAUUGAUUUAAUACAUGUUCUUUUAGCUCACAAAAGUUUUUCAUUAUCCACCUUC
rnacentral:lncRNA from 1 species